rnacentral:rRNA from 1 species
GCACAAGCGGUGGAGCAUGUGGUUUAACUCGAAGCAACGCGAAGAACCUUACCAGGUCUUGACAUCCCCUGACAACCCGAGAGAUCGGGCGUUCCCCUUCGGGGGACAGGGUGACAGGUGGUGCAUGGUUGUCGUCAGCUCGUGUCGUGAGAUGUUGGGUUAAGUCCCGCAACGAGCGCAACCCUCGACCUUAGUUGCCAGCAUUCAGUUGGGCACUCUAAGGUGACUGCCGGCUAAAAGUCGGAGGAAGGUGGGGAUGACGUCAAAUCAUCAUGCCCCUUAUGACCUGGGCUACACACGUGCUACAAUGGGCGGUACAAAGGGUCGCGAACCCGCGAGGGGGAGCCAAUCCCAAAAAGCCGCUCUCAGUUCGGAUUGCAGGCUGCAACUCGCCUGCAUGAAGCCGGAAUCGCUAGUAAUCGCGGAUCAGCAUGCCGCGGUGAAUACGUUCCCGGGCCUU